AGCAAAACAAAAAGUUGCGUGUCGCUGCGGGGGAUGAAUGCAUCCUACUUUUCUCGCGGUCGUCGUCGUCUGCCGUCGUCUGCUCGUCGUCUUCGCGCGCGAGCGAUAAGCGAGUGUGCAUCAGUAUGCGUGCAUACGUGCGUGCGUGCCUGUCCUUUUUUCGUAAUCGCCGACGUGUCGGCGGCGCCAAGCUAGAAGACGCGGAGGAAGGCCGACGACCCGUUAUAAAUGGAACCAGAGAGACGGCAUUUCUUGAAUCGCUGCUUGUGUUGUUAUUCGCAGCACAGCGUCGGCCGCUGCGGGACGAGUGAGCGAACGAGCGGACGAGCGAACCAGGCUCGUUCGGAAACCACCCUUGCUUUCGAAGGUGCGAGGAGACUGACUCCGUAAUUCUGAAUCGUGCAGAUUGUACUAUCGAGUUCGAUGUUCUUCGGUGUAAGGAUCGGAAAGGAAGAACGCAAGAAUUUAGAGGAAAUCAAAGAGGAAUCGCUUUCUUCAUAUUUUUAUACGAUAAAGAGACGCUGGAGUAAAAUUAAUUAACAACGCUAAAUAAUGCAUUGACACUUGAUGAGAAAACAAAAAAAAACAGAAAGAGAGAGUGCGGAUCAGCUGAAAUCCUUGGCUUGUAAAACUAAAUAUCGUAAGUGGUACUAGUCGUUCGGAUAAGAGACAAGCAAAGGGAACGAUUUAUUAAAGGGAAUGAUUAAUACGUACAAUCAUUUAACAAUAGCUGGAGAACAAAGAUUAUCAGAGUACAGAAAUUAUCCGAGAGAGACUGACAGUCUUACUGGUGGAGAGAGAAAAGAACGAGAGGAAAACAAACAAACCGCGUCACGUGAAAUUUGUCAUCUUCAAGGAGAAAAGGAGAAAUCGUGAUAAGAUAACACGGCGCGGCGGUCGUUGCUGUUAAUAAACUCGUGUGCUCGACGAGAGGGCACAUUGUGAUUUCUUGACGAAGGACGCGAGAUUGUAAUCGCGGCUGUCAUCUUGAGAAAGGAGCUCGAUCGCGCUCGAUUCGGAGCUUCGCGGUGAGUCGUGCAAGAGUUGUGCAAAAGAUCGGCGUGUCGUCGCGCGGCUGGAAAAGGGGGCUGUAUCACUCAACGCGAGCGGCUUUAUCGAGGCGCUAUCGUCUUCCCGCGCGAAGGAAGAAUCGCGCAUUCGACAUGCCAGGCGGGGACUCGUAAUCGCGGUUACGCUCGUUCACCAGGUAGAAAACGACACAUGGAACCAAUAUCGGCUGCCUGUUCGUCGAUCGUCGCCACGGUUUCCUCCGAGUCGCUGGGAAUUAGCAGGGAAGGUUCUAAUUAACGCUGCCAUUAAUAGCUCCAUAUCUAAGCAGUGACGACUUCAGCUGAUGAUUAAUAGAUAACCGCCGAUUAAAUACCUGAUCGAGGCGAAGAACGAGAGCGAGAGGAGAAGGGUUUUCGCUGUUUCUUUUUAGAAAUAAUGUUCUUGUGCCUCAACACUGCGCCAUAAUUAUCAAUUCUCUAUUCAUUCUACAUAAUUCUUCUGAAACACUAGAAUAAGAUCCGUACCGUUUUCUUUGCGAUCUCUUCCUUUCUCUUUUGUGUGUAAACGAAAGAGAAUUUAAUCAAGCGCACCAGAGAGAUUAAUUAACGAUUGAUAAUUAUACCGCUACGAAAUUGAGCAAUGAUGACUCGAGCAGAUGAUUGACUGUUCGUUACAGUAAUUAAUUUCGUAAGAGUGUUGCGAGUGUCACGUGUGUUCGAGAAGGACAUCAGCCCUUUUUGUGCGCGCGAGUGAAUGAGAGUAUGAGUACGGCGGUAAAGUGCAAAGUGAUGUAAUUGGUGCAUUCGCUGCGGAGGCAAUGUGUGAUGCCAAAUCAGCCCGAAUGACACUUAGCCCACGCAGCUGAUGACAAACGUAAACAGGAUCAAGGUGGUCGUCCUCGGCGGCCCCAGAGUCGGUAAAUCAGCCGUGGUUGUGCGGUACUUGACGAGGCGAUACAUCGGCGAGUACAGCUCGACCAGUGAUUUUCUCUACCGACACAGCGUCACUAUUGACAAUGUCACGACGGAGGUCGAGAUACUUGAUACAUCUAGAUGCGAGGAGAAUGGCUGUCUGUACUCGCACAUACGGUGGGGCGAGGCCUUCGUCGUGGUCUACAGCGUGACAUGUAAACGGAGCUUUCAGGAAGCCCGUGGACUUCUCAAACAACUCGCAGAUCUACGCCUGCCAUCCUAUUUUACCGCCCUCCUACUCGGCAACAAGAGAGAUUUGGAUCAUGCACGAGAAGUGUGCGUGGACGAAGGCCAACAGCUGUCACUGGCGCACGGAUGUCAGUUUUACGAGGUGAGCGCCGCGGAGAGUCCCGCGGGAGCGGCGUUAGCCUUUCAGGCGCUCCUGCGGGAGGCGAGAUCGGUCCAACUUCUGCGAGCGUUGCCGAUCCGCAGAAAACUGGGCGUACACUCAGUCUCGAGAGUCCUCGGGACAAUCUUCGGCAAGAACACCACCAAGGAUCGUAAAAAGAGGCCAUCGUUGAGUAUAUGACGCCUUCUAUGCGCCCUCCUCCUCGGAGGACGAGAUGAGCCAGGCAAGAGAACUGACAUCGUCGUCCUCAGCAGUAAUGUUUACUCCAAUCGCUGACGAGGUCCUCGAUAAGGACGUGAAGAAUCUCCUUUGUGCCUUCCUGAAGAAAGACGAUCAUCACUAGGAUUCGAAGACUUAGAAGUUCUCGGUCUUAGAAGCGUCUUUUUGACAAGAGCGAUCCUUUUCUUCAGGCGAAGAAAUAUGCAUUUUCUAAUGGCAAUCAAACUCCCGAAGUUCUGAAGCAUAUUCGGGAAACUAAAACUCCGAGGACGUAAGACUGAUUUUCUGGCUUUGAAGAUAUGCAGGAUCCAAGCUGAAAGAUCCAGACUCCGAGAAGUUCCAGUCAUGGAGGGCGGCAACAUUUAUCUAAAAAAAAAAAACUGUUUCGUGUCCUGAAGAAGGAUGUUUACGUGGUGUUCGCGUGUGAUCCUGCUUUUGAUGGCGGGAAAGAAGUGAGUAGACUCAGAGAUUGUUUGUGAUAUGCAAAGGUACUUUUUUAAAUAUUGCAAUAUUUCACAGUGAUUACAAGUGACUGGCAAGUUGUUCCUGAACGACGUAGUUUUUAGAAUGAUCAAGAAUGAUCUUAUGAUUGCGAAUCGCCCCGCAAUUGAUUCCGCGAGUGCAAAUUUUACAAUUUGGGAUACAUAAAAUACUUAUACAUCUCUUUGGUGUUUAAGUUAUUACAUUAUUAACCCUAAACAGUACAUA